ACAGUCUAUAUAGACAAUCUCACAACUAUUUGUGUCCAUACAGUAGGGUUUACAUGGUAAACAUAAACAUUAUACACUGCUAUCCGAAAGUUCCUAGACACUUAACAGAAAACAUUUAGAAAUUCAGUAAAUCUGAUCUAUUGAAAUAGCUGAAUACUGUAAUUUUUGCCUGAUAACUUGUUAUUAUCAUAUUUUUUAUAGUUAAUUAAUGGUCAAUAUUUACAAAUCUCCAAAAUGCUACAUUUUUCAAUAUUAUGUAAUUUAGAAAUUUUGUUUAAUUAAUUAAUAGCAUAUAUUCACAGAUUCAAAAUAAUUUUCAAAGGAAUCAUUCAUAGAGUGUAAUCUUUCGGUUCAUCUUAAAAAACAGUUAUUUUGUAAUAGACGGGCUGUUUCAAUAAAAUUUGUCAUUGUGACUGGCAAAUUAAUAAUCUUCAAGAAAUUAAAGUUGAAGUUUCUGAUGCACUUAACCUCUAUAAGUCAAAAGAGUGUGUAUAGUGUUUGAUGGAUGGCAGUGUAUAUGUUAAAUUGAAACAAAAAUCACUAGAGGAGCUAUGAGUUAAUACCAUUUUAUUUAAAUGAAACAUGAAAAAAAAACAUUGUCAUGAUUCUAGUCACAGAAAAAUUUAAGUGUUGCAUAACAUUGUCAUUAAAUUAAACAGUUAGCUUUAAUAAACAAAAUUAACUUCAUUUACAAUUUCAAUCUCAAUAAUUACCUGUGAAGAAAGUUUACCAGUAAAUUAUAAUUACUAGUGAUGAAGCCUUACCUAUAACUUAAUUACCUGUGAUGAAAGCUUACUUGUAAUUAUAAUUACCUGUGAUGAAAGCUUACUUGUAACUAUAAUUACCUGUGAUGAAAGCUUACUUGUAACAAUAAUUACCUGUGAUGAAAGCUUACUUGUAACUAUAAUUACCCGUGAUGAAAGCUUACCUGUAGCUUUAUAAUUACCUGUGAUGAAAGCUUACCUGUAACUAUAUAAUUAACCUUUGAUAAAAGUUUACCUGUAACUUUCUAAUUACCUCUGAUAAAAACUUUAUACCUGUAACUUUAACAUUAUCCUUUGAUAAAAGUUUUAUACCUGUAACUUUAUAAUUAUCUGUGAUGAAAGCUUAUCUUUGACUAAUCAAUUACCUGGGAUGAAAGUUUACCUGUAACUUUGUAAUUAACCUGCAAUAGAAACUUUAAGCCCAACGUGGAACUUUAAUAUACAGGUGUAUUUAGCUAUGAUAAAUUCUUACCUGUGAGGAAAAGUUUUGUUAGCAAAGCUAGCAAUCAUUUUCAAAAAUCCCAAUUGUAUAUAUUCCAUAAAUUAUAAAAGGCUACGUAAUUGACAUUUCUAUUUAUAAACAAACCAACAUAACUAUCUCAAUAGGAGCUUUUUGUAUAUUACAAGAAUCUAAAUACUACAAAGUCAGAUAAUGGUUACAACAGUACAUAUCAAUUACAUAUAAACUCCAAUAAUUAACACACAGCCUCAUUACAACCUGUCUUCAUUAAGGAUCGAGGACCAAUUCGGACAGGUGUGUAUGGCGACUGGAUAAUGAAGACAAGACACCCAGAAACCAGGUGUAACUAGAUAGUUUCCAGUUCACAUUGGUUCAAAUUUCUAUUUACAGAGGAAUAUUUACACAGGACCUUUGAAGGUCUGGUUUAUAAAGGUUUUCUGAUUAGACAGGUUUAGUUUACCUAGAAAUGUACAGAAAUAUAUAUACAACAGAAAUUAGACGUCUGGUUUAUACAGGGUUUCUGAUUACACAGGUUCAGUUUACAUAGAAAUGUCUACAGAGGAACCUAGUAAAGGUCUGGUGUAUACAGGUUUUCUGAUUACACAGGUUAAGUUUACAUAGAAAUGUCUACAGAGGAACCUAGUAAAGGUCUGGUUUAUACAGGUUUUCUGAUUACACAGGUUCAGUUUACAUAGAAAUGUCUACAGAGGAACCUAGUAAAGGUCUGGUUUAUACAGGUUUUCUGAUUACACAGGUUCAGUUUACAUAGAAAUGUCUACAGUGGGACCUUAGGUAAAGGUCUGGUUUAUACAGGUUUUCUUGAUUACACAGGUUCAAUUAAAAAGAAAUUUAGACUGAGAUAAAUAUAGGUCCAGUUUAAACAAGAUUUUAAUCAGCAGGUUUCUUAAAUAUCUAUCUUUGGACCUAGUUAUGUCUGCUUUACACAGGUUUCUAGUUAUACAGGCUUAAUGUAUGUAGAGAUGUACGCACUGUGAUCAAUGUUUUUAACUAGUUGGUCUGUUUUAUACAGGUGUU